rnacentral:rRNA from 1 species
CGGAGGGUGCGAGCGUUGUCCGGAAUCACUGGGCGUAAAGGGCGCGUAGGUGGCGCGGGCAGUCAACGGUGAAAGCUCGGGGCUCAACCCCGAGUCGGCCGUCGAUACUCCCGUGCUUGAGCACUGUAGAGGCAGGUGGAAUUCCGGGUGUAGCGGUGGAAUGCGUAGAGAUCCGGAAGAACACCGGUGGCGAAGGCGGCCUGCUGGGCAGUAGCUGACACUGAGGCGCGACAGCGUGGGGAGCAAACAGGAUUAGAUACCCUGGUAGUCCACGCCGUAAACGAUGGGCACUAGGUGCUUGGGGGAGCGACCCUCUGAGUGCCGGCGCUAACGCAUUAAGUGCCCCGCUGGGGAGUACGGCCGCAAGGCUG